GAUGAACGCUAGCGACAGGCCUAACACAUGCAAGUCGAGGGGCAGCACAAGGAGCAAUCUGAGGUGGCGACCGGCGCACGGGUGAGUAACACGUAUGCAACCUACCUGUAAGAGGGGAAUAACCCGUUAGAAAAACGGACUAAUACCGCAUAACACUGUAGAACCGCAUGGUUUGACAGUUAAACAUUUAUGGCUUACAGAUGGGCAUGCGCAUGAUUAGCUAGUUGGUGAGGUAACGGCUCACCAAGGCAACGAUCAUUAGGGGUUCUGAGAGGAAGGUCCCCCACACUGGUACCGAGACACGGACCAGACUCCUACGGGAGGCAGCAGUGAGGAAUAUUGGUCAAUGGGCGAGAGCCUGAACCAGCCAAGUCGCGUGAAGGAUGAAGGUUUUAUGAAUUGUAAACUUCUUUUGCAGGGGAAUAAAGUGUCCGACGUGUCGGAUUUUGUAUGUACUCUGCGAAUAAGGAUCGGCUAACUCCGUG
rnacentral:rRNA from 1 species